CGUAGCGGUAGGACGGGAGUGGGACACCUUCGGGUGUGCUGGAGUCUUACCCAGUCCGUCAACCUGCUUCCGUUCUGCCACCAUA
rnacentral:antisense_RNA from 17 species